rnacentral:lncRNA from 1 species
GAAAAGGAGCUCAUUGAGUAAAUAUUAAAGAGAAUAGUGUGAGGAACUAAAAGAGAAAUAGGAAAAAAUUUAAGAGUAUCUUAAUUCCAAUCCUUCCUAUAUUAAAUUAGAUUGAAAAAAAGGAAUAGUGAGUGAAUUUUAACUAGCUAUCAUUAUUGAAGGAGCAUUAAAAGCUACCUCAACCUCUCAUGCAUUCAAGGA